rnacentral:lncRNA from 1 species
GAACAAGUGGCUUCUUCAGUUUGAGAUUUUCUAAGAAAGUCUCUUACCUGAAACUCUGAGACCUGAUUUGGGACUGCUUCCCUUUUUAGACAGGACAUUUUUUUUGAGUAUCCUGUUUUCUCUCUGCCAGUAACAACACUCCAGAAAGUUUUCCAGAACCCAUCAAGUUCAUUUGGGCUACAGUGGAAGAAAUCUUUCUCUUUGUCCUGCUUUUCAGGAGAAAAUGCCUCAGGAAGCACAUUGGCUCAGACAAGGAGCUGCAUGUGGAUGCCAGAAAUCUGACUUCUACAAUGCAAAUAUUUGCUUGAAGAUCUGUGUUACACUCACACCCAGGAAAGAAGUUGGCAGAUGAGACCAGCUAUGAACAGCUCUAUGAAUUGUUACGUAAUAUGAAAAACAGUCAAUUUAAAAAUUAGUCUAAAUUUAAGUCACACUGUUGACUUUAAACUUGCAUGCCUCAAAUUCCCAUCUGUAAGCUGCUUGUUGCAUAAUGAACUCUUCUGAACUCUUCUGGUUUUGUGCAGACAAGUGGAUUCCUAUUUGAGAGAUAUUUUGAUGAUGCAGGAAGGUUUUCUAUAGUAAUGCUUUGAAGGGGAAAAAAAAUAAUUAUUUCUUAGUGCUUAUUUUAUUCAGUAUAUACAUAGCUUUGCAACACAGAUGAAAAGAGGAAAAACAAACAAAUAAAUAUUGAAUACUUAUUAAAUGAGCA